UUGCAGAGAGUGGAGUAGGGUAGUGGCCGUUGUCAUGACUUGCCAGAGAGUAGUGGAGCCAUGCAGAAUCCAUUGCAGAGAGUGGAGCAGGGUAGUGGCCGUUGUCGUGACUUGCUAGAGAGUUCGGAUCUGUCGGUUGGAGCUCGACUGGGACAUCUACUAGAGUGGAAUGGCUCUCUAUCCCGUCGAUCUGAAAGAAGCUCGGAUGUCUCCGAACCUGCUGACGAGUCUACUAUUAUCGAAUACCUUAGGCGCUGAUACUACAGGUGGGAGUUAUCUGCAGUAGAAGCUCGAAUGGAGACUUUUCGUUGGUGAAGCCUGGUAGGAGUCUGAUUGCCAGAGAAGUCCGUCUGAGAUUUGCCUGAUAUGGAAGCUCGUCUGAAGAUGAUCCGUCAGAGAAGUUUGGUUUCAUGAAGGAUCUGGUGGAGGGUCGGCCGGCGAUGGACUUCGGAUGGCGCUGGGGAGGUUCAACAGACGUCAGAGGUGAUCGGUCGUUGUAAGAAUCCAACUGUCAGAGU
rnacentral:lncRNA from 1 species